rnacentral:tRNA from 1 species
GGGGCAUUAGCUCAGUUGGAUAGAGCACCGGACUUCGGAUCCGGGCGCGGGGGUUCGACUCCUCUAUGCCUCACCA